rnacentral:lncRNA from 1 species
CCCAGACAUUUGCUGGGGAAAUUAAAAACCCCUAAGGCUCAGUUGAGGUGUAAACAUCAUAGGAAAAUCAGUUGAAAAUCCACUUGAAAGCUGGAUCUAAAGGCUCAACUCACCCUAUGGAAGGAAGAUGCUCAUUCCUUGAAGCUGGCUCUGAGAGAAAGCAGCGUUUCUGAUUGUGUGGAAUGUAACACUAGAGCCACAAGAUGCUGAGAAAAUCCAUUUAAAUGGUCAUGAUGUGGAUCAUGGCUUUAAAUGUGUUUAUUGUCACAGGACUGAGUAGAUCUUAAUGGAAAAUCAUUGAAAACCACACAUGUGGAUAAAAGAAACCUUCCAGUGCUUCAUCUGUGAAAGUGCCUUUAUAUCACUUUAUAAAGUACCUGGAAAGUGCACAGAAACAGCCAUCAGAGGAAAUCUCAUCUCAGUACAGAUCAUCUGAAACUGAGCAGAUAAGCAAUUUUCAUGUAGCUUGCUUGGCAUUAUCAGGAUAUGGUUAUGUGCCCACGCAGUGAUUUUACCAAUCCACAGGGUUUCUCUGGUUUUAAGCUACUGCAACAAACUCUGGCUUUUAAGACAGCUAAGGAAUGGAUCAAGGUCUGCAAGCAUCUGUACAAGCAUAGACCUUUCAGAGUUACUGGCUUCAGCUCCAUCACAACAUCCUUACAUGUGUUGGUGGUGUCUUGACUGAACCACGCAGGUGCACACUGGGUUGGAGAGUCAGGUAAGUGUUCAUUUAUGCUUCAAUACAGCAAAUGAAACAAGCAAUAAGAUUCUCAAAUAUUUUUUAAUCUGUACGUGGUCACAAAACAGGCAAUUUAUCUUCCCUUUUCUCUUAGUCACUAGAGACUUCAGAAUCCAGCAGUAUUUUUAAUCUAUUGCUUGCUGUGUCAUCACAUUAAAAGGAGUGGGCAAUUUAAUAAAUAAGGCUUGGUGACACUGGGUGAGGAAAAA